UUGAUAGCACUGGAAAUUGAAGUGCUUUAUUUAUCCCUAGAACAGGGACAGCAGCAGCAUGAGCUUUCUACACUGCUCAGCUCAAGCGCAACAGUCCUGUCAGCUGUCAGAGGAGGACAGUUCAUUUUCUGCAGCCUGGUCAGUCCUUGAUGUCU
rnacentral:sRNA from 1 species